GCCGUUGUAGCUCAGGGGUAGAGCACUUCCUUGGUAAGGAAGAGGUCGUGAGUUCAAGUCUCAUCAACGGCU
rnacentral:tRNA from 1 species